rnacentral:rRNA from 1 species
AUGUACGUACUUACCGGAAGUCUACCCCAGUCUUUGCUGUGCAACAAAUAUCUGAACCGCCUGGAUGUCAGUAACAACAAUCUCUCUGGGAAAAUUUUAUUCUUUUGUCCCAUGGACGGAGAAUCCUCAAGCUCACUGCUGUCAUUCAAUUCAAGCAGUAACCGUUUCUCAGGGACCCUAGAUGAGUCUAUCUCGAACUUCACACAACUGUCUUCUCUUGAUAUCCACAACAAUAGCCUCACUGGAAGCUUACCAUCAGCACUCUCUGAUCUCAGCUUUUUGAACUAUCUUGACCUCUCAAGCAAUGAUUUCUAUGGUGUCAUCCCUUGUGGUAUUUGCAAUAUAUUUGGCCUCACAUUUGCCAACUUCUCUGGUAACCACAUCGACAUGUUCAGCUCAUCAGAUUAUGCAGCAGGAGGUGUUUGUUCCACUAAUGGCACUGGUCGUAGGGUGGCUCAUCCAUCUCAUCGAGUUCGAAGAUUAGGGAUCAUUUGUAUCCUUUCACUUGCUGUCAUCAUUGUGUUAGUACUUCUGCUGUUUUAUCUGAGACACAAACUAUCGAGGAACAGUUCAUUGGUUAUUGUGCCUGCUGGUAAGGCUAAGGCUACCGUUGAGCCAACCUCAAGUGAUGAGCUCCUAGGAAGGAAGUCACGGGAACCUCUGAGUAUCAAUCUCGCAACUUUUCAGCAUUCACUGUUGCGGGUCACCACUGAUGAUAUACUGAAAGCCACAAAGAAUUUCAGUAAAGAACACAUCAUAGGCGAUGGUGGCUUUGGCACUGUCUAUAGAGCGGCACUCCCUGAAGGUCGGAGAGUCGCGAUCAAGAGGCUUCAUGGUGGCCAUCAGUUCCAGGGUGAUCGUGAAUUCCUAGCUGAGAUGGAGACCAUUGGAAAGGUGAAGCAUCCAAACCUUGUUCCCCUGCUUGGUUACUGUGUUUGUGGCGACGAACGGUUCCUGAUCUACGAGUACAUGGAGAAUGGGAGCCUUGAGAUAUGGCUGAGGAACCGAGCAGAUGCGGUUGAAGCGCUUGGAUGGCCAGACCGUCUCAAGAUCUGCCUCGGUUCUGCCCAUGGACUUGCUUUCCUUCAUGAAGGAUUUGUGCCUCAUAUCAUCCACCGGGACAUGAAAUCAAGCAACAUCCUGCUGGACGUGAACUUCGAGCCGAGGGUCUCUGACUUUGGCCUCGCAAGGAUAAUCAGCGCGUGCGAGACUCAUGUCAGCACCGACAUCGCCGGUACAUUCGGAUACAUCCCCCUAGAGUACGGCCAGACAAUGAAGUCCAGCACGAAAGGCGACGUGUACAGCUUCGGCGUCGUCAUGCUGGAGCUGCUUACAGGACGGCCACCUACAGGGCAAGAGGACUUGGAAGGUGGUGGAAACCUUGUUGGGUGGGUACGAUGGGUGAUCGCUCGCGGAACGAGGAACAAGCUGUUUGAUCCUUGCCUGCCAGUCUCAGGCGUGUGGCGGGAGCAGAUGGUGCGCGUGCUCGGCAUCGCCCUGGACUGCACGGCCGACGAGCCGUGGAAGAGGCCAAGCAUGGUGGAGGUGGUGAAGGGCCUCAAGACGACCCAGGCGAUGGAGUGCGGACCUCUGGUGGUGACGGUGUCCAGGGGCGCGUAG